UACGGAGGGAGCUAGCGUUAUUCGGAAUUACUGGGCGUAAAGCGCACGUAGGCGGCUUUGUAAGUAAGAGGUGAAAGCCCAGAGCUCAACUCUGGAAUUGCCUUUUAGACUGCAUCGCUUGAAUCAUGGAGAGGUCAGUUGAAUUCCGAGUGUAGAGGUGAAAUUCGUAGAUAUUCGGAAGAACACCAGUGGCGAAGGCGGCUGACUGGACAUGUAUUGACGCUGAGGUGCGAAAGCGUGGGGAGCAAACAGG
rnacentral:rRNA from 1 species